ACCGGAGCGGGCGCUGCAGGGGCACGCGCAGCCCGGGGGCCGGGGGCCGGAGAAGGAGGGGAAGUGUUUGGGGCUUCCCUGGUGGCGCAGUGGUUAAGAAUCCGCCUGCCAAUGCAGGAGACAUGGGUUCAAGCCCUGGUCCAGGAAGAUCCCACGUGCCGCGGAGCAACUAAGCCCGUGCACCACAACUACCGAGCCUGUGCUCUAGAGCCCGUGAGCCACAACUACUGAAGCCCACGUGCCACAACUACUGAAGCCUGCACAUCUAGAGCCCGAGCUCUGCAACAAGAGAAGCCACCACAAUGAGAAGCCCGCGCACCGCAACAAGAGUAGCCCCCGCUCGACACAACUAAAGAAAGCCUGUGUGCAGCAACGAAGACCUAAUGCAGCCAAAAAUAAAUUAAAAAAAAAAAACUUUUGUAAUUUAAAAAUAUUUUUAAUUAAAAAAAUCUCCCCGUGC